rnacentral:lncRNA from 1 species
AUGGACCUCUCACCCACACAUCUCAUGGAAGUGAGAAUGGGAUGCGAUAACCAAAGGGGUGCCUUCUCCGCAGGGCCAAGCUGGAAAUACAAGAACACGGAGGGACUCGGAGGACAUGACUUCUCAGUGUCCCUUGUAACUGAGGGGAGACUCACUCAGGCUGGUGGUGUUGCUGUUUACCUCUCCAUGGUGAGGCCCCACAAGGUCAUGCUAAAAUGGCAAACUGUGAAUAAAAGUACACUAUUGUUUGACAAAUGGAAAAUAGGACACGGCAUCGAAAGAAUCUUCCGCCUUGUUGAGUCGAAUUUUCGCAGAACACUAGAGGUCCCUCUUGACACUGAAUCUUCCAGCCCUCGGGAUGCAGAAUUCAGAGUGACACUUUUCUGCCUCAGCCCCACUAGAUGUCUCUUCAAUGAAGUUCUAAGACAGUCGGUGCCCUGGCAUCAAUCAUUACACAGAAAGGAUGCAGUUUUACAUAACCAGACAAUUUGCCUGAGUAUGCAUACAUCCUCGAAGCCAGCUUCCGCCCCACACACAACUUUACCUUAAUGGAAGAAGACUUUUGUUUCUCAGAACAAUUGUCUGGUAUUGAGAUGGUCUAGGGGGAGGCAGAGGUGACAAUGAUGUUAGUUUGAUUAAUUAGGAACCAUGGAUGGUACUCGGAAGCCGUAGAGGAGGCGGCUUCCAAGAAAUUAAAAAUAAGGUUGCUGCUCAGAGUUGAACACCCGAAUCAGUGGAGGUGUUAGAGACGGGCAGUUACCUUAACGAGAUGAAGCAGCUCACAGGCCAGAGCCAGACCUGGCUCUGUGUUGUUGGAAGGAAUGGAUGCAUCAAAAGAAAAGCAAUGCUUCUUUAGGCAGCUGGUGAUCCAAGGACAGGUGGAGGGAGAGAGGCGUGCACGGGCCAUGCAGCACAGAAAGGAUUCCCUGGGCCUGGUGCUGUGGCGGAUAAUCCCAGAGCAGGACUGGAUCACCUCGUUUAGGAAACCUGAAGUGCACGAGCCGUCACAUCAUCAGAUUCCGUCCUCCCCAUCAAGGUUUCCCAAUUCCAUUUGAGUUCCCAUGUCCCUCUGCCCACAGGGAGAGAAGAGGCUUCUCCAGCCAAGUAGAAUGAGCUCUAGUCCCUUCCAACAGGUUCAUUUCUCCUUCUGAAAUUUCCCUGUCCCAUUCUGGCGUGUUCGUCAGUCUUUUUUGAAUUUGGGAGUGCGAGUUAGCCUCCCCCAGACCGGUGAACUCUAGGGCAUUGACAAGACUGAGGUUCCCGCUCUGCAAGGCUGAGGCCACAUCCUGGCUUGAGCUACGUUCACCAAAGCCAUUCUCUCAGUAAAACGUUUCCAUCGGCCGUGAGCUGGGUCCUGGAAAUAUCUCGGGAAGUACAUGGCUUCCGUAAUUUAGUUUCCAAUUUACAGAGUCCUGAAUCUUGUUUUGCUGUCGAAGUUCAUUGUUUUUGAGUGUAAUAAACCUUGUGCAUUGUUGAGCGCA